rnacentral:rRNA from 1 species
GUACCGUCAACUUGCCUCGCAAGGCCUCUUUCCUUNUAGUUAAAAGCAUUUUACAACCCACAGGGCCGUCUUCCUGCACNCGGCGUGGCUGGGUCAGGCUUCCGCCCAUUGCCCAAUAUUCCCUACUGCUGCCUCCCGU